UCUUCGUCUCGAUGGGCCUCCUCCCGGUCAUGAGCUCCACCAGCAGGACGCCGAAGGAGUAGACGUCGCUCUUCUCGGUGAGCUGGUAGGUGCGGAGGUACUCCGGGUCGAGGUAGCCGGCGGUGCCCUUGACCUGCGUCGAGAUGUGGGUGACGCCGGCGUCCACGGGGGUCAUGCGGGCGAAGCCGAAGUCGGCCACCUUCGCCCGCAGGCUGUCAGUGAGGAGGAUGUUCGACGAUUUGAUGUCUCGGUGGAUGAUCGGGUCGUCUUGCAGGAAAAAGGAUGGAGGAGGAGGACGAUCAGAAGCCGGCGGCGGAGGAGCAGCAGCAGAGCUCGUCGGAGGAGGAGGAGGAAGGGGGGGAGAGAGAGAGAGAGAGACGGCGGCCUACCGGCGUACAUGUGGAGGUAGGUGACGGCGUGUGCGACGUCGAUGGCGAUGUCCAGCCGGGAGGUGAGAUCGGGAGGGUCCCCCCGCAGGCCUGCGGCGGUCGCCAUGGAAGAAGCAGAUCAGUUCGAUGGUCAGCUGCUGAAGCCCAACUCGAGGGCGACCGGAGGUGAUCCGUCGGUCCAUCUCCACCUGAACCAGAGGGUCUGGAGCAUCCUCUCGCGGUGCUGGAUUGGGAAAUGGGGAGGGAGAACCAGAGCGGCGGCGAUGGAGGGAGGAGGUGGGGGCGGGGGGGAACUCACCGUCGAGAUGCUCCCGGAGGGUCCCGUUGGGGACGUACUCGAUGACGACGACCCUCUCGUCCUCGUGCUCCAGGUAUCCGUAGAAUCUGACCAGGUUCAGGUGCUCGAUGCAGGCCAGGAUCUGGAUCUCGCUCUUGAAUUCCACCCCGAGGUGCUUGUCGUGGAUGCUCUGCGAGAAGAGGAAGAGGAAGAAGAAAGAGAAGAAGAAUCCUAAGUCAGUCUCGCCCCCC
rnacentral:lncRNA from 1 species